ensembl:lncRNA
GUAAGUAUCCACUGUAUCCAUGGAAAUGGGUGAGCUCACUGGAAAAGUGCAUUGUGGGAGAAGAGGAGCAUGGUCAGAGACUUGAGGACACUGAGUUACACAGACCGGCAGAGGGAAGGUUGUCAAAAAUAGGAGACAGAAGUAGUGGCAGAGAUGGAGGAAAACCAGGUGACUAUGGCUUAACAGACGGCAAGUAAAGAGAGCACUCCAAGCAGACAGGAACAGUGAACAGUGUGAAAUGCUCAGAGGUUAAGUCAAGUAAGAAAUGAGAAUGGUUCACUAGAUUUAGCAUCAGUGGGGUAGGAAUUAUAACUCAGGAUGAAAGCAGUUUCUGAAGACAGGUGUGAGAAGAGGCAGACUGUGGUUAGUCAAAGGGGAAGAGAAGUGAGGACGUCAUAGAGAAUGUAAAAAGUUAUUUCAAGAACUUGGUCUGUGAGGGAAAAGAGAGGAACUGAAGAAAAGUAUGGGGUACAGGAUGGAAGGCAAGGGUUGGAGGAGAUUUCUUUUCUCUCUCUUUUUUUGUCUUUGACAUGAAAGAUACUGGAGGACAUUGAAAUGGGAGGAACCUAGUGAAAAUGCUGGCAUAUAGAAAAGAGAUGUCAUUGUUGGAGGGAAGUUCCUGAGGGGACCCAGAGUGAUGAGAGCAGAGGCACAGGGUAGAAGCUAACCCUAGGGGAAGCAUAUUCCUCUAUUCCUAGCACAGGAAUAGAAAAGGGGUGGCAGGAAAUUGUAUGUAUUCUCUUCUGGGUCAUCUAUUUUCUUAUGAAUCAGCAGUCAAGAUCACCUGAAGCACUGUUUCCAAGCUCUGUUUCCCAGCAUCCAUGAACUAAGCAACUUUACUCUGCUAUGACUUCCCACCGUAAUGUUUCUGCCUUGGAACCAGCAGACCAUGGACCGAGUACUCUGAAACCAUGAGCUAAAUAAACCUCUUCUUUACAUUACCUAUUAUUUUCAAUGCAAUCCAUGGACCAGGCAGCAGCAUCACCUGGAGAGAAGCUUCUUGGAAAUACAGUAUGGCAAGCUCUGCCCCAGACAUGCAGAUUCAGACCCUGCCUUCUAACAAUGGCCACAGAUCAGCAGAAACAGAUCAGCAGCACCCUUUGGAGAUUGGCAUGGUAAUGAAAACCUUUCUGGGUCAGAGGACGCUGCAUUCUAGAAGAGCACCUAUUAACUUCCCUGUUCAUGUGAGCAGCCUGGAAUGAGAAAAGGAAGAAAAGGGCACAAAAUACAGAAUACCAAAACAUGGAUCCUGGUAAGCUCAAAGAACGCCGAUGGAUGAUAAGGCUCUGAAAGAUGGACAGAGGUAAUGUAUGAAGCAAUGGUAUGUGAGGUUAUUGGGCAAGUCAGAGUUGCUUCUGCCACAUCCAACAAGUGAACACCACAAGUGACCAGCCCACAUCAGUUCCUUUGAGUUCAUGGUAAGAGAUCAUUUUCCUUUGUAAAAUUCUGUAACACAUAACCAUCUAUGGCUCUUCCAUUCUAUCAAAUACCACUGGCUCUAAAACAGAGGGGGCUGGAGCAGCCCUUCUGUACUUAGAGGUACUUGAGAACUGUAUCAUUUCUAAUUAUAAGAAGAGGACUCAUUAAUUAUAGACAAGGACAGUUUGUGGAGUUCUAAUAUUUACUGUGCUCCAAGAAAUCUGUUCUAAGGACUUUGCCAUCUAAUCAUCAGUCCUCUCAGCAAUGAUAUAAUCAAAAGGAAUGUGCACACUAAACCCCUGGACUAGUAGUCAUCUAUGCUCUUCAAAAAGAUAUCCAAUAAUACAGGUGAUAUCUCCACCAAUAAAUAUAAAAUUAACAAUUUAGGCAUUCAUUGAGAAUCUAAAAUUUAUUUUAAUAGACUUCUUAUUUACUUUUCUCAUUGCUGAGACAAAAUACUCAACAUCCACAAAUUGCAAGAGGAAAAGUUUAUUUCAGCUCAGUUUGUAGAGGUUUCAGUCCAUAGUUGGCUGGCUCCAAGGCACGGAAGCAUGACAGAGAGGCUUUGCAGAGGAGAAACAGUCCAUGGUAUGGUAGACACAAAGCAGUAAGCAACAUCAGAAGAAGCAGCAGGAGCAGCAGCACCAGCAAGCCCCUCUUUCCCUUUUAUCUCACCCAGGCUACAAGCCUUUUGGGUGGUGCCAGCAAACCCAGGGUGGGCCUUACCAUUAUCCGCACUCAAACCUAUGCUAACUCCAAUCAGUGGACUAAUUUAGUAGCACAUACCCUUAAUCCCAGUACAAGACACCCUAGAUCCAGCUAGUUCCAAAUAGCCCCAUCUAUGAGUGUGUGAGGGUUUGGAAGGACAUCUAGAUACAAUAAUAACAGAGGAUCAUAUCAAACUGUGUGGAGAACAGUAGGUUUUAUUUAUAAACAUGAAAAAUCUUACUUUUCUUUUUUUUUAAUUUUUAAGGUAGAAAUUCUGAUGAGCUUGGAUAUUCUCAAGUCUUACUUUGCUUGGAGGAUGAAGUGACACACAGAACAUUGGAAUGCUGCCUCAUUCACAUACGGCUUACCUUGCAUGCAUUCUAACAGCAAUGUGCAAGAAGCAGAGACUGGCAAAUUCACAAAUAUAUAGGGAUUUGAGAUUUCCCAUGCAAGUUAUUCCAGAAAUGCCAAGUAUUUUGUUUAUGACAAAACAAGAACUAAAAUGUUGACUGCCAUUUUCACCACCAGAGAGAAAACAGAGUGACAGGCUUUCAUGUUUUUGAUAAAAUAGGCAAAAGGGGAAUAGUCAUUAAUCUUGCUGAAGCUCUGUAAUAUAAAAUUAUUUAGGUGGCUGUGAAAGGAAAUUAAAUAUGCUAUAGAGAAAAAAAACAUAGCUUUUAGGGAGAUCUGCUGCUUUUUAAAAGACGAGUCUGUGAUUCUACAAUAAUGACAUAAAAGCCGAAAUGCUAUUUCCUAGUCUAUUACAUUUUAGCUGUCACUGAAACUAAAGUAAUGGAAAAGUUAUAUUUCUGUGUGUAAAGUAACUACAAAUUAUCCAUUCAUCACAAAACAUUUUAUCCUUUAUCUAUUUAGAUAUAAUUGUAGUCUUGCUCUUUUAAAUUUUAGAGAACAGGAUGUUGGUUAAUAAAAAUUCCAGUUAAAUAUUUUUUUGGUUAUUCUUGGUC